GAGAGAGGCUCGAAAGCACCGAUGACUGCUAAUCUUCACCCCCAUGGUUAAACUCCAAGGCUCGCUCG
rnacentral:tRNA from 1 species